AGCAGCCGCGGUAAUUCCAGCUCCAAUAGCGUAUAUUAAAGUUGUUGCAGUUAAAAAGCUCGUAGUUGAAUUUCGGGGUUAGUAAGUUGGUCGUGCCACUGGUAUGUACUGGCUUUACUGAUUCCUCCUUCUUGUAGAACCGUAAUGCCAUUAAGUUGGUGUUGCGGGGAAACAGGACUGUUACUUUGAAAAAAUUAGAGUGUUUAAAGCAAGCUAACGCUUGAAUACAUUAGCAUGGAAUAAUGAAAUAGGAUGUUCGAUCCUAUUUUGUUGGUUUCUAGGAUUGACGUAAUGAUUAAUAGGGAUAGUUGGGGGCAUUAGUAUUCAAUUGUCAGAGGUGAAAUUCUUGGAUUUAUUGAAGACUAACUACUGCGAAAGCAUUUGCCAAGGAUGUUUUCAUUAAUCAAGAACGAAAGUUAGGGGAUCGAAGACGAUCAGAUACCGUCGUAGUCUUAACCAUAAACUAUGCCGACUAGGGAUCGGAUGAUGUUAAUUUUAUAAUGACUCAUUCGGCGCCUUA
rnacentral:rRNA from 1 species